UAGCUAGUUGGUGAGGUAAAGGCUUACCAAGGCGACGAUCUGUAGCGGGUCUGAGAGGAUGAUCCGCCACACUGGAACUGAGACACGGUCCAGACUCCUACGGGAGGCAGCAGUGGGGAAUUUUGGACAAUGGGGGCAACCCUGAUCCAGCCAUGCCGCGUGAGUGAAGAAGGCCUUCGGGUUGUAAAGCUCAUUCGGCCGGGAAGAAAUCGCAUGGGCCAAUACCCUGUGUGGAUGACGGUACCGGAAUAAGAAGCACCGGCUAACUACGUGCCAGCAGCCGCGGUAAUACGUAGGGUGCGAGCGUUAAUCGGAAUUACUGGGCGUAAAGCGUGCGCAGGCGGUUUUGUAAGACAGGCGUGAAAUCCCCGGGCUUAACCUGGGAACUGCGUUUGUGACUGCAAGGCUAGAGUACGGCAGAGGGGGGUGGAAUUCCACGUGUAGCAGUGAAAUGCGUAGAGAUGUGGAGGAACACCAAUGGCGAAGGCAGCCCCCUGGGUCGAUACUGACGCUCAUGCACGAAAGCGUGGGUAGCAAACAGGAUUAGAUACCCUGGUAGUCCACGCCCUAAACUAUGUCAACUAGGUGUUGGGUGGGUAAAACCAUUUAGUACCGUAGCUAACGCGUGAAGUUGACCGCCUGGGGAGUACGGCCGCAAGGUUAAAACUCAAAGGAAUUGACGGGGACCCGCACAAGCGGUGGAUGAUGUGGAUUAAUUCGAUGCAACGCGAAAAACCUUACCUACCCUUGACAUGCCAGGAACUUGCCAGAGAUGGCUUGGUGCCCGAAAGGGAGCCUGGACACAGGUGCUGCAUGGCUGUCGUCAGCUCGUGUCGUGAGAUGUUGGGUUAAGUCCCGCAACGAGCGCAACCCUUGUCGUUAAUUGCCAUCAUUUAGUUGGGCACUUUAACGAGACUGCCGGUGAUAAACCGGAGGAAGGUGGGGAUGACGUCAAGUCCUCAUGGCCCUUAUGGGUAGGGCUUCACACGUCAUACAAUGGUCGGUACAAAGGGUUGCCAAGCCGCGAGGCGGAGCCAAUCCCAGAAAGCCGAUCGUAGUCCGGAUUGCAGGCUGCAACUUGCCUGCAUGAAGUCGGAAUCGCUAGUAAUCGUGGAUCAGCAUGUCACGGUGAAUACGUUCCCGGGUCUUGUACACACCGCCCGUCACACCAUGGGAGCGGGUUCCGCCAGAAGUAGGUAGCCUAACCGCAAGGGGGGCGCUUACCACGGCGGGGUUCGUGACUGGGGUGAAGUCGUAACAAGGUAGCCGUAGGGGAACCUGCGGCUG
rnacentral:rRNA from 1 species